UCGGGAAUUUUGGGCAAUGGGCGAAAGCCUGACCCAGCAACGCCGCGUGAAGGAUGAAGUAUUUCGGUAUGUAAACUUCGAAAGAAUAGGAAGAAUAAAUGACGGUACUAUUUAUAAGGUCCGGCUAACUACGUGCCAGCAGCCGCGGUAAUACGUAGGGACCAAGCGUUGUUCGGAUUUACUGGGCGUAAAGGGUGCGUAGGCGGCAUAUCAAGUCACUUGUGAAAUCUCCGGGCUUAACUCGGAACUGCCAAGCGAUACUGAUGUGCUAGAGUGCAGAAAGGGCAACUGGAAUUCUUGGUGUAGUGGUGAAAUGCGUAGAUAUCAAGAGGAACACCUGAGGCGAAGGCGAGUUGCUAGGCUGACACUGACGCUGAGGUACGAAAGCUAGGGGAGCGAACGGGAUUAGAUACCCGGGUAGUCCCUGAGCGGGCUGGCAAGGCGCAU
rnacentral:rRNA from 1 species